UCAGGAACCUCUUGCCUGGGGGUUUGUUGUAGGACUCCUGAGAAUAUGUAGUCUCUGGUACUUGGUGAUUUCCCAGCAAGAUUUCAGAGGAGUGAACUGUGGGCCAGAGGAGGUUGGAGGCACGCGAGCCAAGAUUGCUGGGGAGGGCUCCUUCUCUGCCUACGGGGAGCUUCCCCCACCCUACAACCUUGACUCAGAUCGGGAGGAAGUUGAGGCUUCAUAGAAAAAUGUCACCCAUUAUCAGGGACAAACCAGAACUGCCUGCUGCUGGCUGCUGCUGUCACGGAGAGCACUCAUUGCUGGCCUGCUAUGUGAGGAAGCCCACUGAUUUUGGACAGCUGGAUCUCAUGAAGGCUUUUCCUCAACAGAGGCUCCUUCCUCUCUGAAGACUCUAACCUGACCCACAAACCCAUCAGUCCAGGGAGAAAGGUUCAGGAUUCGGGACUGCCUCAAAGACCAGAGAGAACAGCAACAAUAUGGAUGUCAGACCACAAAACUUCAAGAGUGCUGAAGGCCAGGCUGCUCCCUAGGUAUGUUUGUGAAGUUACCGAUCAGAACUGAGUCGCUGGAAUUCCAUGUGGUCAUCCUCAUGCCUUCCAAGGCUGCUAAGAUGCUGGACUGGAUGCCAGGUGGGAAGUGGGCAAUCCUUAGAAUGUUGCUGCAGCUGCUUAUGUGUGAACAAAACUGGCCUGAUUCACUCUAAACCGAACCAGAUUUCCAAAGCCAAGUACUGUUUGUCCAGCCUUCCUUGUCCCUUCUUAGCCUUCUGAGAAGUAUGACAAUGCACUUGGAAAUACAACCAGCUUCUUCAAAUAAAAUGAUUCCGUAUUUAA